rnacentral:rRNA from 1 species
UUCCUAGUGUAGCGGUGAAAUGCGUAGAUAUUAGGAGGAACACCGGUGGCGAGGCGGCUUGCUGGACAGAUACUGACGUGAGGUGCGAAAGCGUGGGGAGCGAACAGGAUUAGAUACCCUGGUAACGCCGUAAACGAUGAUGACUAGGUGUUGGGGAAACUCAGUGCCGCAGUUAACACAUUAAGUCAUCCGCCUGGGGAGUACGACCGCAAGGUUGAAACUCAAAGGAAUUGACGGGGACCCGCACAAGCAGCGGAGCAUGUGGUUUAAUUCGAAGCAACGCGAAGAACCUUACCAGGCCUUGACAUCCUCUGACAAUCCUAGAGAUAGGACGUUUCCUUCGGGAACAGAGAGACAGGUGGUGCAUGGUUGUCGUCAGCUCGUGUCGUGAGAUGUUGGGUUAAGUCCCGCAACGAGCGCAACCCUUGCCUUUAGUUGCCAGCAUUGAGUUGGGCACUCUAAAGGGACUGCCGUAGACAAUACGGAGGAAGGUGGGGACGACGUCAAAUCAUCAUGCCCCUUAUGGCCUGGGCUACACACGUGCUACAAUGGGUUGGGACAAAGGGAAGCGAAGCCGCGAGGUGAAGCCAAUCCCAUAAAACAAUCCCCAGUUCGGAUUGCAGGCUGAAACCCGCCUGCAUGAAGUUGGAGUUGCUAGUAAUCGCAGAUCAGAAUGCUGCGGUGAAUGCGUUCCCGGGUCUUGUACACACCGCCCGUCACACCACGAGAGUUGGCAACACCCGAAGCCAGUGAGCGAACCGUAAGGACGCAGCUGUCGAAGGUGGGGUCAGUAAUUGGGGUGAAGUCGUAACAAGGUAGCCGUAG